rnacentral:tRNA from 1 species
UCCCUGGUAGCUCAGACGGUAAAGCAUCUGCCUGCAAUGCGGGAGACCUGGGUUUGAUCCCUGGGUAGGGAA